rnacentral:rRNA from 1 species
AUUGAACGCUGGCGGCAGGCUUAACACAUGCAAGUCGAGCGGGGUGAUGGUGCUUGCACUAUCACUUAGCGGCGGACGGGUGAGUAAUGCUUAGGAAUCUGCCUAUUAGUGGGGGGCAACAUCUCGAAAGGGAUGCUAAUACCGCAUACGUCCUACGGGAGAAAGCAGGGGAUCACUUGUGACCUUGCGCUAAUAGAUGAGCCUAAGUCGGAUUAGCUAGUUGGUGGGGUAAAGGCCUACCAAGGCGACGAUCUGUAGCGGGUCUGAGAGGAGGAUCCGCCACACGGGGACAGGGACACGGCCCAGACUCCGACGGGAGGCAGCAGUGGGGAAUAUUGGACAAUGGGGGGAACCCUGAUCCAGCCAUGCCGCGUGUGUGAAGAAGGCCUUAUGGUUGUAAAGCACUUUAAGCGAGGAGGAGGCUCUUUUGGUUAAUACCCAAGAUGAGUGGACGUUACUCGCAGAAUAAGCACCGGCUAACUCUGUGCCAGCCGCCGCGGUAA